rnacentral:rRNA from 1 species
CUCAAUGAAAAUUAAAUAGCCGCAAAUAUAUUUGUGCUAAGGUAGCAUAAUCAUUUGUUUUUUAAUUAAAAACUAGAAUGAAAGAUUUAACAUUUUUAUUUCUUUCUUACUUAUACAAAUUCAAAUUAUUCCAAAUAUAAAAAAAUAUUUAUCAAUUAAAAAGACGACAAGACCCUAUUGAACUUAACUUAAGUUUAACUGGGGAAGUUAAUUAAAUAUAAUUUUAAUUUUUAAAAAAAAACACCUAAUACAAUUAAAUAAUCAAGUUACCAUAGGGAUAACAGCGUAAUAAUUUUUUAUAGAUCUUAUUCAAAAAAUUGUUUGCGACCUCGAUGUUGAAUUAAUAAUCAAUUAAAUGCAAUAAUUUAAAAUAGAAAGUCUGUUCGACUU